AUGCGAGUCGAGCGAGAAGGGUCUUCAGACUGAACACAGCGGCAGAGGGGAGAGUAACGCGUGAGAAUCUGCCCUUUAGUGAAAAAUACCCUCGAAAAAUCGGGGUUAAUACUGCAUACUUUCCAAAGGGAAAAAAGAGGGCCUCUUUGCUGUCUCUGAGAGAAGAGCUUGCACUCUAUUAUCUAGGUGGGGGGGAAAAGGCCCCCCAGGGCGGAUAUGGUUACCCGGUCUGAGGGGGUGUACGGCCACUUUGAAACUGACACACGGCCCACACUCCUACGGGGGGCAGCAGAGAAGAAUAUUGCGCAGUGGGAAAAACCCUGACACAGCCACCCCGCGUGGAGGAUGAGGGUCUUCAGAUUGUACACUUCUGUUAAGGGGGGAAAAGUGCGCGGAUAUAAUACGGCCGCGCGCUGACAGCCCCACUAAAGAAAGCUCUGUAUAAUCUCGUGCCAGCACCCGCGGAUAUACGAGAGGUGCGAGCGUUUCUCAGUAUGAUUGGGCGUAAAGGGUGCACACGCUGUUUAUUAAGUCAACUGUUUAUUUUCUCGCUCUAUCUGAGGGACAGCGGGAGACACUGAUAAUCUUGAGUAUGAGAGAGAGAAGGGGAUCUCUCAGAGUA
rnacentral:rRNA from 1 species